UUAGAGGAGAGCUUUUCAUCUGGGAAGCUCAGUGACUUCCAAUUGUUGUUAAAGGAUAAAAACGUGAGCAGGCUGAAGGGGCCCUGUUUUCUCAGAUGAGACGGUACCAGUUACAUCCUUCCUCUGGGGCCAGCAGGUACCACGCUCUCAGAUCAACAUCUCUCUGCUAAGUGACAGUGUUCCAAGGGAAAUGAUUGAUGUUCGCCACAACCACCUCAUACCGUGACAUGCAGUUUCUUAUUAGUCCUGGUCAUGGCAAGAGACCCAAGCUGGGAAGAAAGCAUGAGGUAAGAUCCCUGUAGUCCCUAUAUAUAUAGACUGUAGGUGAGGCCAUAACUAAUCAAGAAGUUCUAGAAAUCACAUCCUUAAGAAUAACUGUAUUUCAUCGUUGUAGGGAGUCAGAGCCAGAGCUCUGAAAACCAGACUGAGGGAACACACAUUAACCAGUGACUUACAACGUAGUUUGAAAGGGCUGGAAAGCUGCAUUUGUAUAACCCAUGUCUAUUCAUUCAGAGCAGUACAGAAUCUAUUCAAGUAUGAAAUCUCACAACAGCUCUACAGUCUAAUCUUCUGAGACACAAGAGUUGUUGAGAGGAAAACAGGUUAGAAUUACUCAAGUUUGCUUAAAUGCUACCCUGAGGCACAAAAAUGUUUCUGAAAAAGUGUUUUCCUUAAUAACAUCUGGUUUUGAGGUAAAGACUGUUCUGAACUUAGUACCUCUUGGUGCCAGGCCGCCACAAUUUUCUCUACCUUCCUCACUUCUUCGGUAUCUUUCUUUAGCUCUUCAGCCACCUUGGUGCCCUCUGAACUAUGAAGAGCUGAUGUAAUUAAAAUAAACUGGGUUUCCUGAUGUUUUGGUUUUAAUAUAGCUGACAAACAUUUGAAAAUGGAACUUAAUUAAAAUGUAAACAAAGCAGUAUAGUCAGCUAAGAACUCAGACAUAAUUUCAUUCAUAUACAUUCAACACAAAAUUAUUGCAUCUCAAAACAUCUAGUGAUCC